rnacentral:tRNA from 1 species
GAGAAAGGCCCGCCCGCAACGAAGGCUGCUAACCCUCGUAACUUCGGUUGAACUCCGAGGCUUUCUCG